GACGAACGCUGGCGGCGUGCUUAACACAUGCCAGUCGAACGGAAAGGCCCUGCUUGCCGGGUACUCGAGUGGCGAACGGGUGAGUAACACGUGGGUGAUCUGCCCUGCACUUCGGGAUAAGCCUGGGAAACUGGGUCUAAUACCGGAUAGGAGCCAUUUUUAGUGUGAUGGUUGGAAAGUUUUUUCGGUGUAGGAUGAGCUCGCGGCCUAUCAGCUUGUUGGUGGGGUAAUGGCCUACCAAGGCGGCGACGGGUAGCCGGCCUGAGAGGGUGGACGGCCACAUUGGGACUGAGAUACGGCCCAGACUCCUACGGGAGGCAGCAGUGGGGAAUAUUGCACAAUGGGCGCAAGCCUGAUGCAGCGACGCCGCGUGGGGGAUGACGGCCUUCGGGUUGGAAACUCCUUUCGCUAGGGACGAAGCUUUUUGUGACGGUACCUAGAUAAGAAGCACCGGCUAACUACGUG
rnacentral:rRNA from 1 species